GGCUCAGUGGCGGAGUGGUCCGCAUCUGUAGGAAAUAACUCAACAUGCGUUUCUCUGAGUUAGCAGAACAACGUUUGUUCGAAUCAAGCCUGAGCCG